CGGUUUUACUGAUUUGCAAUGAUUGAGUAUAUGAUACUGAUAGAAGUGAGGUAGAAAGCAUGAGGGCAACCGAGAUGGAGGCUGCCGCCAUUAUGUUUUACUAUUAAUCUCUUCCUCUAAUUUAGUUUUGAAACUUGAAAGCCGUUAUGACAGGAUGAGUUGGGUAUCAUUUAUAUCCAGUCUUGCCAAUGCCUAGCUCAAAGCAUAUUAAAUAUCUCACUGUGAUGUUUUUCUGAAUGCUCCUGCAUCAUCUGGGUGUUAAUCUUUUAUUUUGUAUUACUUUCUACCUCCAGUUGGGCUGUGUUAGUAUAUUGUGGAAAUUAGAAGCAUCAAAAUUUGACGGAGUACUUGGGAGAAGGAUGCAUAGUUAUUGCAAAGACUAACAGAUUUUGGAAUAAUAUUAUGAGUAUUCAUUCUUACUCAUUUACCUUUUCUGUUUUUAUAUGUUAUUAGUUAUUUUCCCUUUCACAAGACUUCAAAUCAGUAUUGGACUUUUAUGAGAGGCCUACAUAAACUUCUAUAAUUCUAUUAACUUGCUUAACAAAUACUAAUUGCUGAUAGAUCUAAUUCACUGAAUGUAUGUGCUGUUAGUUGUUAAUAAUGAUUUACGCCGCAUCGUGUUUCUUCUUCUUUUGUUGUGUUUAGGGAGCAGAGCAAACCUUGCAGAAAAGAAGGUCCGAGUUUUUGUAAGUCCAUUCAUCAUCAUCAUCACCAUCACCAUCAUGUUCAUAAAUUGCAGUAAAUUGAUACUGAUAGAAAGCAACUUUAUUGUUUACUUUGUUGUUAAAUGAUUUUGUUUAAUUUGUCUUUGCUUACAGGUAUUUCUUCAUAUUGCAGCACCAAUAUUUCUCCUUCUUUUUGCCUUUUCUUUUUUUCCGGGAUUUGCUGACCGUAGUUUAGUUGCUUGCCUCAUUGCUGUAUACUUCGAUGGAAGAAAGAUUUGGAUAUGAGGUGAUAUUGUAGUUUAUACUUCUCUUGGCUUCCUAUUGAAUUUUAUGAAAUGUUCAUUUUUAACAGAAGAUGAGAUGGGGAAUUAUGCUUCUAACCUCUCACAGUAUUGUUGUAUGUUAGCAUGAGUUUGAAUAAGCAAUUGAUUAUCAAAUGAUUAUGGCUAAUGUGAAACUGAAUAGUACAGAUUUGUAUGAUCCAUUCUUAUAUGUGGCCAUGUGAAACUGUGAUUAGUUUAUUAUUAUUGUGAGUAUCUGUAACUGAAAUUAUUGGCAUUCGCUUCCCGAUUCCUUUCAGUGAGAUUUUGAUUGCUCGUGCAUAAUCAAAAUCAUGGUUUUAGUUGGAGGAUAAUAUUGUAUGGGAAUUUGAGAAUAUAUAAUAGGAAUUUGAGCAAUUUGUUCCAGAACAUGAACAACAGUUAGGGUGUUCUUGCUCUCCUUUUUUUUGUACAAACAAAUAUGUAUGUGUAAAUACAUUAUACAUACAUAUAUACUUUGGAAAGAAAGAACUCUCAAAUUUUCUAGACCAAAGAGACUAAGUAAAUAAAUAUAUGUAUUCAUUUUGGAUGUGCGUGUUCAUAAAUGCAUAUAAAUAAAUAAGUAAAUAAAUAUAUGUACUCAUUUUGGAUCUAACUUAUAUAAGUAAAAUAAUUUUUAAAUUUUAAUGUGGU
rnacentral:lncRNA from 1 species